GUCUUUUUUCCCCCACACUACAUUGCCUUCCAGGACAAUAUAGCAGGAGAGGUGGAUAACAAGAAAAUACAAUGCAAUGUGAUGAGUGCUAUAACCAAGAUAAGUCUUACUGGAAUUAACUCUCCCUGAAGGAGCUUUGGAAGUCUCAAGAAAGAGGCAAUGGGGAGUCACUGGAAUGCUUGAACAACGUUACUUUAAGAUGAUUUUGACAAUGCGUGGAGACUAGAUCAAAGGAAAGAGAUGCUGGAUGUCAGUGUCCAAAGUGUCCUUGGAAGCCACAUGUUGAAGACACCAAAGCUUCUGAAAGCCUGAACGGCUGCAUGGUGUGGAUUCUUCUCUCCCCAGCCCCAUCUCCCCAACACUGCUGCUGUUAGACUUAACAAAAGCUAGAAAUAAACUUCUACUGAGUUAAUACUCUGAGAUUUCAGGUUUUAUCUUUUAGCCACAGAGAUUCCAGAGUUUAUCUGCUAACUAAAAGACGAAUGCUGCAACUCAGCUGAUAAUGGACUCUAUCCCACUUGCGAUACAAAUCUGGGUUUCUAGCCAACAGCAGCUCUUAAAUUCCAUUUAUUUGGAGACUAUAAAAUUGAUUCACACACCAAACACCUGUUUAGCUUCCUACAUAGGGAAUCUAUGUCCACAAGUGACUCAUACUACAGAGUUUCAACAUGCAGUCUCUUCUCAGGCUGAGUUUUAGACUGAGGCCAGUGUUCAUGGGGACCCACCUUGGGCGUAGAAAGCCAUGGAGGCCUGAACAGCUAACCAGAUGGUUAGAAACAUCACUCUGACUAAACCUUACAUACUGUGCCCUCACACAUAUGUCUUCUCAUUCUACUGGGGAUGAGGGCCACCAAGGGCCCUCAUAGCCACAUAGGAAAGUUACCCAGCAUAAGAAAAUGACAGAACCAGGACUGAAGGCUG
rnacentral:lncRNA from 1 species